UACCCCUUCUUGCUCUGUGGUGAUGAUGCAGGAAAGUUCCCCCAGCAAGUCAGCAUCAGCAGCUGCCCUUUGUGCUCAAAGCCCCUCUCCCCUCCAGGCACUGAAUCGCAGAGAGCUGCAGCACGAGAGAGGCCAGUGCCACACACUGGGGUAAGGAGCUGCCAGGCUCAGCCUGCCCUGUGCUGCCCCAUCUGUACUGGGAUUGCUACAGAGCCUGGUGGUGCUGUUGGAUGCACACCUCCGAGGGAAGGCCAGUUCAGACCAUGUGACAGAGAAGGAUCUCCAAGGCUGGUCUUUUCCUCCAGGAAACCCUGCAGAGGGGUUUCAACAGAAACGUUUACUCCCAUUAUGGCAAAGUUCGUGGUAACAAGGAAAGACUUAUCAAAAGUCCCUGCUGAGCUUUGCAAACAAGUUAAGAACCAAAAGUGUCUGGAAGAAUGUUGUUCACGUCUGUUCAUCUGUGUAGCCAAGAGAUCACCUUCCUACCAGGGCAACCUAGACUCCAGUCCCAAAAUCAUCAUCCAGUUCAGGAGAGGUUACUACAGCAAUGGCUACAUCGCAAGUCGUGCAGCACCAUGGCAAUGGGAGGAAAACCACUGGAGCAGGGUACCCGCGUGGCACACAUCACUGGAGUUUUACCACACUCUAGCUCUAAUCUGAUCCUGGGGACUCAGCGCACAUUAGUGGGUGAAGUGAUCUGCUAGUUAAGUUUCACCUGAAAGGGAUCCGGUUUACGCACUCCAAGACCGCUCUAGAAGGUGAGCCAGAGUAAGUGGGGGCAACCAGGAAAUUCAUUUUAAAAAUGAAUGUCUUUCAUCCAAAUUAAUACAGCAGCGUAAAGGCACCUAGAGAGAACAGGUGCCUUGUCAAGGUACUGAACCCAGCUCAGCAUCCUGAAACCUCACUAGCUAGAAGGACUGGAGGACCAGCUAGAGCUAAGAAGAGCACUGGUAGCCAUCAGAGAUACCUCUCGUUGUUUCUAUACGUGUCAGUCUCUACAGAGAGCCACUGAAUCUCAUUUUGUUUUCACAUGAAAUUCAUUUCAAUUUGAGUUGAGUGUUUUCAGGCUGGCUGCCUGGCUUCACAGUACCUACCAGCUUCAAGCAAGAUCACUGCAAACGCAGGACACCUAGGACCAUUCCUCCACUAAGCUCUGAGUGCUGGUUUGAAGCGAUUACAGGACAGGAGUUUCAUGGGCAGGGAAUGCCCAAAUCCUGGCUGCCUCUCCAAAACUAUCAUUCUUUCUGUUCCCUAACAUUUUGUAUGGAACAAAAUUAUAUGUCACUUUAUGUGAGCCUCAGACCUGCCCCUCCCUUACAGGUCUCUGACUCAGAGAUUAAUAAUAAAUAUUAUUUGAUUAACUAUAUGGCUACUAGC
rnacentral:lncRNA from 1 species